AUGGAAAAAUGGAAAAAAAUCACGAUCAUGGUCACGGCUUUUACGUUUUUUCUGCAAAUACGACCGUUGGAUUCAUUUCUAACCGCGUACUUGACCGGUCCGAACGUCAACGCAACGUUAAACGAGGUUACCGAUGUAUUCACUCCGAUAAAGCUGUACACUUCGGUGGUAAGCACUUUUCUAGUGUUCCUGUUGGCCGACUAUUUACGAUACAAGCCCCUCGUCGUGUUCAACGGGAUGGUAGGCAUGGCUACGUACUUGUGCCUGAUCGGGAAGCCCUCCAUAUUUAGCGUUAAGUUGUCCGAGGUUUUCGGUUCCCUGGUACUCAGCUGCGAAUGGACGUACUACGGUUACCUGUUCGCCCGGAUAAAAGACAAGAACCACUAUCAAAUAGCCACGGGAUGCGUGAAGGCUGGGGCGCUGAGCGGCCAAUUCAUAUCCGGUCUUUUCGGUCAACUCGUGACAUAUUUAAAUAACAGCGAUUACAACACUUUACCGUACUACAGUAUCAUUGGCGUGACUAUCGCAACCGCGUUGGCGAUCAUGUUUCCGCCGAUUAAACGGAAGAUCGGUUACUUCCAUGCGGACAACACUCUUCCCAUAACCGUCGACGAGAAAGCAAACUUGUUCUCGAAACACGUUAUCUGUAACUCGGAUUUACCUAAGUACUCUACGUUUGCGGUGAAAAAGGAAAACGUCGACUGCAAGCCGGCGACGAAAAUCAAAAGCCCGUUCGCGUGCAUCUACGAGAACUUCAAAAACUCUUACGCUAACCCCGUGAUCCUGCGAUGGUCAUUAUGGCACGUCUUGGGUCUGACCGGGUACAUACAGAUAUUCCUAUAUAUAAAUAUUUUGUACACGUACAUCAUGGACGUGUCGGACAAUAAGAACGAGCUGCUCAACGGACUGAUCGAUUCGCUCGCCACCAUGUGCGCGGCAUAUUGCUCUUACAAAAUGGGAAAGACGAACGUGGACUGGAUGGUGUACGGCGAUACGUUCUUGGCGCUCAAUGGACUUGCAAUCGGGCUGCUGGUGUGCCUGUGUAGCUGGGUGAAACACAUCUAUCUCGUGUACAUAAUAUACUUCAGCUAUACCAUACUAAUACAGUCCGUAUUCGUAAUAACCAUAUCCGAAAUCGCUAAACAAUUGAAAGACGACUGCUACAUAUUAGUGUUGGGAUUCAACGCGUUCUUAUCAAACGUACUGACCUCGAUCACGUCAUUAAUACUAGUGUAUGUGGGAACAUCUAUACCCAAACAAUUUUUGAUCUAUGGCGGAUUUUUCUUGUUCCUCGCAGCUGUUUACGGUUACGCAGUCAUUUACAAAAUAUAUUCAACGAAAACGGUGAAACACUUUGUCCGGGUGCCAUGAUCGACUGAAAACUAUUCCGUGCACGAUAAUAGACCAUCUCCGACGAAAUAUACGAGAUGACGACGGGAACCAAUUCGGUACCAGCCACCCAACUCAACGUCGUUUAAAACGAGGUAGUCUCUACGACCUUUAAUGCUAAGCUCACCUCCAACAUUCAAAUCUUCAAUUGUUCAAGCACUUCUUCCUAAAGCACUCUUACACAUUAAACUAACUGCUAAAAUAUAUUACAAUUAUUUUGUGAAAAUUUAAAUAUUAUUCCUUAUUCUUACUGUAAACACCAAUACUGCAUUAUUAACUUAAGUUAAAUCCAUAUUAUUAUGUUAAAACUUUAAAUUUUCUUUUUUUAUUCGUAGAUAUAGAUAGUAUAUG
rnacentral:misc_RNA from 1 species